CUUGCUUUUGAAGAUGACGAGCGGCGGACGGGUGAGUAAUGCCUGGGAAUUUGCCCAUUUGUGGGGGAUAACAGUUGGAAACGACUGCUAAUACCGCAUACGCCCUACGGGGGAAAGCAGGGGACCUUCGGGCCUUGCGCUGAUGGAUAAGCCCAGGUGGGAUUAGCUAGUAGGUGAGGUAAAGGCUCACCUAGGCGACGAUCCCUAGCUGGUCUGAGAGGAUGAUCAGCCACACUGGGACUGAGACACGGCCCAGACUCCUACGGGAGGCAGCAGUGGGGAAUAUUGCACAAUGGGGGAAACCCUGAUGCAGCCAUGCCGCGUGUGUGAAGAAGGCCUUCGGGUUGUAAAGCACUUUCAGCGAGGAGGAAAGGGUGUAAGUUAAUACCUUACAUCUGUGACGUUACUCGCAGAAGAAGCACCGGCUAACUCCGUGCCAGCAGCCGCGGUAAUACGGAGGGUGCGAGCGUUAAUCGGAAUUACUGGGCGUAAAGCGUGCGCAGGCGGUUUGUUAAGCGAGAUGUGAAAGCCCCGGGCUCAACCUGGGAACCGCAUUUCGAACUGGCAAACUAGAGUCUUGUA
rnacentral:rRNA from 1 species